rnacentral:rRNA from 1 species
UUUAUCCUACGGGGCGCAGCAGUGAGGAAUAUUGGUCAAUGGGCGCGAGCCUGAACCAGCCAAGUCGCGUGAGGGAGGACGGCCCUACGGGUUGUAAACCUCUUUUGCCGGGGAGCAACGGGCGUCACGUGUGGCGCCACUGAGAGUACCCGGAGAAAAAGCAUCGGCUAACUCCGUGCCAGCAGCCGCGGUAAUACGGAGGAUGCGAGCGUUAUCCGGAUUUAUUGGGUUUAACGGGUGCGUAGGUGGUUGGUUAAGUCAGUGGUCAAAUGGAGGGGAUCAACCCCUUCCCGCCAUUGAAACUG